rnacentral:rRNA from 1 species
GAUGAACGCUAGCGGCAGGCCUAACACAUGCAAGUCGAGGGGUAGAGGAAGCUUGCUUCCUUGAGACCGGCGCACGGGUGCGUAACGCGUAUGCAAUCUACCUUUUACAGAGGGAUAGCCCAGAGAAAUUUGGAUUAAUACCUCAUAGUAUAUAUCAUUCGCCUGUUUAAUAUAUUAAAGUUCCAACGGUAAAAGAUGAGCAUGCGUCCCAUUAGUUAGUUGGUAAGGUAACGGCUUACCAAGACGAUGAUGGGUAGGGGUCCUGAGAGGGAGAUCCCCCACACUGGUACUGAGACACGGACCAGACUCCUACGGGAGGCAGCAGCGAGGAAUAUUGGUCAAUGGACGCAAGUCUGAACCAGCCAUGCCGCGUGCAGGAAGACGGUCCUAUGGAUUGUAAACUGCUUUUGUACGGGAAGAAACACUCCUACGUGUAGGAGCCUGACGGUACCGUAAGAAUAAGGAUCGGCUAACUCCGUGCCAGCCGCCGCAGUAAGAC